rnacentral:lncRNA from 1 species
CCCUGUGAACUAGGAUGCUUCCCGGUCAGAAUGCAUGUUGGUGUAGGAUGAUGGUAUGCGCACCCGCUUAGCCCUAAGAUUUCCGCUACUAGUUGUAUCACUGUGAUUUGGUCUUAUAGGCCCUACCUUGUGAACUUGACCUUUCUGGUCAUGUGUUGUAAUAUUUCGGUACUUGGAUGUAAGACACUUAUUAUUCAUCAUCGGUGUGUUUGGUGAG